UACGAGUGCCCCAAGCGUUAUCCGGAAUCACUGGGCGUAAAGGGUGUGUAGGCGGUUGUGUUAGUCUUCUGUCAAAUUCUUCGGCUUAACCGGGGGUCCGCAGAGGAAACGGCACAACUAGAGGAUGCGAGGGGUGAGUGGAACUCAUGGAGUAGGGGUGAAAUCCGUUGAUAUCAUGGGGAACACCGAAAGCGAAGGCAGCUCACUGGCGCACUCCUGACGCUGAAACACGAAAGCGUAGGUAGCGAAUGGG
rnacentral:rRNA from 1 species